CACACACACACAUAUAUAGAAGAAAAGCCUGGAAACAAUUCAGAUGUCCGCCAUAGGGGGACUGACUCAAUAAAUUAUGAUACAUCUGUACAAUGGAGUACAAUGUAUCUAAUAAAAAGAAGUGAGAAAUAUUUCUCUAUACUACUAUGGUAUGAUUUCCACAAUACACCACUAAGUCAACAAAACAAAAAUCAAGGUGGAAGAAACUGUGCAUAGUGAGCUACCAGUUACCUAGGAGCAGAAGGAUAAACCAUGAUAUUAAAAGGAAAGAAAGUUUGCCACUAAGAGGAGGGAUUGAAUAGGUUGGUAGCUGAAGGAUAAAAGCUAGAUUUUUAAUACACUUUGUUUUUCGACUUUACUAUUGGACUAUAUAAGUAUUUUACAUACUUAUAAGCCAAAAUGAAAUUUCAAGAAAAGCAAUCUCUAAAAAUUGAAAAUAAAAUAAAGCAAAUUAACCAAACCAGGUAUGCAGCUGAUGGCUUAACGAUACAAAGAGUAACAAUCCUAAGCAACCUAAAACACAAUAAUUUUACUGUAUAAAAUCCCUUUUAGGAUGUACCCCCAAAACACACACACAUACACACACACACACACACACACACACAGACAAAUAGAAAAAAAAAGAAAAACAAGUUUAAACCAUUUCUAGUAAUCAUAUUGUUGAUGGUAGUAUUAGCAUAUUCUGAGAAUGCUGUGCAUUAACUUAGGAUGAAGCAAACAUGCAAUUAUGUGAUAUUCUAAAUAUAUCAUCUGCCAUUUCCUGAGAACUACAAUUCACAGCAUGGAAGACAGAAGAUGCUCAUGUACGUCUGUCCUCUGAAAAGGCUCAAAAGUAAUGACCAGCUCAGAGAAAUGAACACUUCUAGAGUCCUGAUCAUAGUCACAAAAGUCUAUUUCUACUAAACGGAAUCAGAGUUUCCUGCAGAAACAUAUCAGUCUAGGUCUGGAACAGAAAAUAUACCAGACAAGCCUGUAAAAUCUUGUCCAGGAUCACAUCAAAUAUGUGUAAAUCCAUGAGUUAAGACUAUUUUUACAAAUAUAUAUAAUUCCGUGAGUUAAGACUAUAUUUUACAAAGCAAAUUAAAACAUUAAUUGGUCACAGGUGAAAACUGUUAAUAAGUCAACAAUUUCUGAAAACAAAUAGAAAGUAAAAAUGACCACUUUCAGAAGGUUGUUCUCAAAGAAAUAUCCAAAUUAAUAAAUAAAAAGAAAAUAUUAGAUCAUAAUUUUGUAACCGUUAAUAAAUUAAUGGAUCCAGGUAUUGAUCAGCAACAGCUGCUACAUUGACAAAAAAGAAAGCAAACAGAUAUUAUGAGCUUCCCAACAGAAAACAUACAAUCACAUAUCUGACGUAGUCUUGACUCCCCCCCAAAAAAGUGAAACUGAAUCUGAUCAAUUUAAAGUCAACUAAUUAAUAAGAAACAAAAGAACAUAUUAAACUACACCAGGGGAAUAGUCAGAGGGGGAAACUCUCCACAAUUUAAUAACCACGUUUCUUUAAUAAAUUAAUGAGGAGGGAGGAAGGAAAAAUAGAGAGAGGAAGGGAUAGAGGGAAAGGAAGAAAGAAGGAAGGAAGGAAAGAGAGAGAGGGAGAGAGAAAGAAACAGAGAAGGAGAUUUAAGAAUUCUUAAAAGAUGUAUUAACUAAUUGCAAUACAACACAUGACCCUUAUUUGGAUCCUGACUCAAACUGUAUAAAAAGAUUAUAAAAUUAUGUGAUACAAUUUGAAAUUUGAACACUGCUUAGAUAUUUGAAAUUAAAAAUUCUUAGCAUUUUUGGUACAAUAAUGGUUAUAUGGUUAGGAGUUUUAAAAUCCCCUCUUUGUCUUUUAGAAAUAUAGAUGAUAAAAUAUAAUUCAGAGAUGUAUUUCAAAAUAACACAGAAUAGGGAACUGGGUGGGGGUAUGAAUAGGUCAGGAUUGGCCAUGGGCUAAUGAAUGUUGGGGCUGAGUGCUAAGUAUUUGGGGGUUCAGAAUACCAUUUUUUUAACUUUUGCCUGUGUGAAAUUCUGCAUAAUAAAUGUAUUUUUUAGAAAAUGCAAGAUAUUCAGUAGCAAUGAGAACAUUCACUACACAGAGCUUGGUUUCUAAAUACAAUUUGCUGCUAAAAAGUACCAGAGCUUCUUGGAGAAAUGGAUGCUUUCAAGUCUGCAGGGAGAAAAUUACAAAGAGAGCCUGGAACAUCUUGUGCUAGAAACUGAAGAAGCAAUUACGGAAGACUGUGUCAGCCAGGGUCGGGGCAGUGACGCCCAAGGAACGGGGCCUUCCAAAGGUUUAUGGAGAUGGUAAACCAUGGCCGACUCUGCUCAGCAGUAAAUGUGGCCAGAGAGUACUUCCUCCUUUCCAGUGUCAGCAAGGCCUUCAUGAGGAAGCAUUUAACAUGGAAGAGCUGAAUAUACACUCACUCAAAAGUAGAAGAACUGCAAGUGAAGAUGGCUGGCCCAAGUUUGCUUGAGGCAUGGGGGAGAUAAAGCACUUUUCUAAUGGGUGGCAGUGUUUCAAUUAAAGGCAUGCAGUGACACUGAGCAAGUUACUUAAAAUCUGGCCAGGUGCGGUGGCUCACACCUGUAAUCCCAGCACUUUGGGAGGCUGAGGCAAGCAGAUCACCUGAGAUCAGGAGUUCAAGACCAGCCUGGCCAACAUGGCGAGACCUUGUCUCUACUAAAAGUACAAAAAAUUAGCUGGGCAUGGUGGCGUGCGCCUGUAGUCCCAGCUACUCCGAGGCUGAGGCAGGAGAAUUGCUUGAACCUGGGAGGGGGAGGUUGCAGUGAGCCGAGAUUGCACUCAAGCCAGAAUGUAAAUCAACUUUGACCUCAAGAACACCAUCUAGAUCCGCUGAUUUUUUACCUUUUUUCUGGCAGCAAGACUUUUUUGAUGAAAGAAACAAGGAUCAUUUAUAUUCUCUGUAAGCUCCUGAUGCCCUUACAGGUCUGGGAGACCGUCUCUACUCGCUUCUGAACUGCUGCUGCCUGGGUCCGCGUCAAUGUUGAUAAAAACACAAUGCUUUCCUGUGGAUCUCCAGCAGACUCUCCGAAGAGAUUGGAUAAACCGGCCUCUUUAAGCCACUCUUCUUCCAAUUCUCCCUCUAAGACAGUAGAGAAAAGUGGUACUUAAAUCACAAAAUAUAACAACCUUUACAUUUUUUAAGCUGUUAAAAAUUCUUACUAAAACUCUUCUAUUGUAACCAAACCACAGUGCUAAGAAUCAUUAUCUAAAACUUGGACAACUGCCAUACACUCCAGCCACAAUGACAUCAAAUUUUAGAUUGAUUUCAUAUAUACUCAAUUAAAAUUUUUAAAUGACUUCACAUGUAAUUAACCUCUAUAACUUCCCUGCAGAUUAACCCAGAGGAUGAUACUGUUCCCCUUCCAGAGAUAAGCAAAGAAUAAAAAGAUAACUUACUUCCAUCAAGUUACAGAAGGAAGUCAAUGCUGGGGCUAUAUAUUAAGCCCAGUUUCUUGGCUUAAAUUCAGUACUACCUCAGAGUCCAACACUAAUUUAUGGAAAGCCUUGUUUUCUCUGUUCACUGUAGCUGACAGGAAGUGCAGCAAAGAAGUUAACAGCAUCAGAACAUUGGGAACUAAUCAAUUUCAAAUUAAUUUUUCUAAUCUUCCAAGUCAGCACAUCAGAUUAUGUAUUUUUACAAUGUUUUUUUAAAAGCACAAUAUAUCCAGCAAAAAAAACUUAUAUAGGAAGAUAAUCAAACAACAAUCAAUUCAAAACACUGAAAGCAGGAAAUAUUCAUGCAAAUAUUGUGUAAGAUCUAAUGAAAGUUAUUUAAAAGCAGAAGGAUAAUUAGAAUGGAUUCUUUCCAACCAUCAUAUUUAUAGAGGAAAAUAAAAGCGAUGAAUUGGGACACAAAAGACCUGGAUCUGUACCCCAUUUCUGCAACUUGAUAGCCAAGUCUCUUUGGAAAAGUCACUUAGCCUCAAGUUGACUCUGUUUUCUGAUCUGUAAACUAAAGCACACCUCCUUCCAGCUAUGCCAUAACCAAAGGUGAGAAUGUUAUAUGGAAGGAGCUUUGAAAAGCCCUGAGAUAGACUGUAUCACAUGGUAUAGCACCUAGUCCUACCUGUCUGUCUUUCUAUACUAUAUAAACUUCUUGACGGCAGAAAUCAAGUAUUAAUAACUUUGACUUCAAGAGACAUAAGCCAGUGCUAGGCACUGUGCACACCAGACAACAAAAACAGUUUACUAGCAUAAAAAGUAAGUCAGCAAGGCCGGGCAUGGUGGCUCAGGCUUGUAAUCCCAGCACUUUGGGAAGCUGAGGUGGGUGGAUCACUUGAGGUCAGGAGUUCGAGACCAGCCUGGCCAACAUGGUGAAACCCCCUCUCUACAAAAAAUACAAAAAUUAGCUGGGCAUGGUAGUACAUGCCUGUAAUCCCAGCUACUAGGGAGGCUGAGGCAAGAGAAUCUCUUGAACCUGGGAGGCAGAGGUUGCAAUGAACCGAGAUUGUGCCACUGUACUCCAGCCUGGGCGACAGAGUGAGACUGUCUCAAAAAAAAAAAAAAAAAAAAAACAAACAAAAGUCAGCCAUUAUUAUUUAUGCUUUUAAAGUAGAACUCAGUAUUGGUGUAUAAAACCAGAUUGCCAGAAAAAAAACCUGAUAUUGUUACACAACAAGGAAAAUAAACAAGAUUACUAUGUAGAGUCAUUUUUUCCAUUAAAAAGUAGAAGUAAAACUUAAACAAUUUAAAGUCUAAGAAAAGGUGUGGGCAUGUAGAAAACAUUCCCAAUCUUCUUGAUGAUCACAUAGUGCAUAAUAAUCAAUGACUCUAAUUAGUGUUGGAGACUUAUCAAACAGCUAAUGACAUACUUCUAUGUAUCAGGCUUAAACGCUGCUUUCUCAAACAUAUUCUCUCCUUAUUCAGCAGACUAGUAUGCUACUUCCAUCUUGAAACAUGGAGAAAGAAAGGGUGAGAGAUACUAUUAAUUAUCACAAAUAAGCUUGACUUUAUUGCUAUCAUAUUUGGGAAACAAUGAGAGAAAAAUAACAAGAAGUUAAAGAAUAAGUUAACCGUAGUGUUUUUAGAUCUAAGAAAUUAAAUUAAGAAAAAACCCCAAGUCUUCUUUUUAAAUUAAUGUUGGUAGAUUUUUCAAGCAAUGUGUAGCCAAGGAAAAAAAUCUUAUUUAUAUAGAUUUUGCUAGUUAAUUAGAUCCUAAGUCAUUUAGUUAAGAAGUCAUUGUGUUGAGAAGGAAGUCUCUAUUAGUGGAUCACAAAGCACUGAUUGGGGCUCUCACAUUUUGGCAUUUAUACAUCAACUUAUAUAAACAUACUUACAAAUGUAUAGAUGGCACAAGGCAUAGAAAGAAAGCUAAUACAACAGACAAGAGAAUUGGACAUGAAAAACUUAGCAACUGCUUGAAUUUCAGAGAUUAAAAGAAACGGUACAAAAAAACUUUAAAGUUUUACAUGUUUCUCCCAGAAUAUCAAAUAUUAUAGCAGAGAAUGGGAAAUAUGGCUGGAAAGUGACUCUACAGAAAUUAUGCACCAAAUACAAGAAAGAAGUAAAUAUGGAAGCUAAAAACAGUAAUGCCACCAUCUACUGUCCAACUCUAUAUUUUUAGAUUAGUUGGCUAAACAUGAGCCGUUGCAUCCAAUCUGGAGAAGUAUACUUUGAAUGACAAAAUAGCCAGGACCACAACAGGUCUUUGAAAACCACCCACAAAAAUUGGUUUAUGUGAAUUUUCUUUCUAGAAAUGUCUUGGCUAGGAACAAGAUAAAUAUUCUCAAGUAUAUGAAAGGCUAUCAUGUAAAAAUAGAAGAGCCUUCUUCUGUUCGUCCCAAAGGCAUAACUACAGCAAGAGAGUCAAAGUUAGAGGACAGCAGAUUAUAAAUCAAUAAAACAAAGAUCAAAAGAACUCAAGCUGACUGACCACUGGAAAAACAGUCUCACUGCAAAGCAGUGCUCUAUCACCAUCUGCACUCACUAGAGACCAAAUGACAAUGUGGCUACCACAUCACAGAAGAAAUUUAAAGGGAGGUUAGAUGGUUUCAAAGAUGAAGUCUAACUCUAAAAAGCUAUGAUACAGUGAGCUUAGCCAACAACAUUCCAGCCAUAUCUAUGACUAAGCUAACUUACUUAUGCCACUUGUAUCUGGCAGUUGCAUCCAUAAAUCUGCCUCAAACAAGUAUUUUUCAAGUUGAAAGGCAGUAUCUUUUUUUGGUGGUCCUAGCUUUAAUUUUUUUUUUGUUCUCUUCCUUUCUAUGCAUUCAUUUCCUAUAAAUACAUAUACAAACAACAAAAGCUUUAUUUAGUUAGUUAUUACCAUCAGGCUCUUUGACAACAACCACCUCUUGAUCUUCUUGGCUGUUUUCACUAGAUUUCUUGAUGUUUUCUAGUUCUAUCCAAUAGUCUUCCAUAGAUAGUUCAUCCAAAGAAUCCUGGGAAAUUGAUCGAUCAAAUGGAGGCUUCUCCAUAACUUUGAUGGUGGUGCUUUCCUGGUUCAUAGUGUACUGGCCAUAUCUGCGACUGUAAAUUCAAAAGAACCCAUGGUUUAUUUUAGUACAAAAGGAAGCAGUAUAAUUUCUAAGACAUCACAGCAACAAGCUGGAGAAUUUAUUAACUCCUUAAGUUAUCCUUAAUAAAACUAAAGGAAUAUAUAUUUUGGAACAGUUUACUAUGGAUUAUAAUAUGCUUGUAGAAUAAACAGUUUCAUGCUCCACAGAAAAGUAUGGGGAAGUACAAAUAGCAACAUGGUAAAUUAUUUUUCCAUUUACAUUAAAUGAAGACUCAUUUUUCAAAUAUAUUUUUUAGCGACAAGGUCUUGCUCUGUUGCCAAGGUUUGAGUGCACCAAUGUGACCAUAGCUCACUUUAAUUCCAAAUUACUGGGCUCAAGUGAUCUUCCCACCUCAGUCUCCUGAGGAGCUACUACUACAGGUAUAUACCAUAUUGCCCAGCUAAUUUUUUUUUUUUUGGCAGACAUGGGGUCUUGCUGUGUUGCCCAGGUUGGUCUGAAACUCCUGGCCUCAAAUGAUCCUCAACUGAUCCUCCCACCUCAACCUCCCAAAGCACUGAGAUUAAAGGCAUGAGCCACCACACCCAGGCAUAAGACUCAUUUAAACCUGAAACUUUGUUUUUAAAAAGCAACACAUUAAAUCUUGAUUACAGACUAUUAAUUGGGAAUGAAUUUUAUAUAAUUCUUGUGUUUAUCAUUUAUAUUCAUAAACCAAACUUAGUCAACUCUUAUACAGCAAAUAUCUUCAACCGAUGAAGCACUAUUUGAAUUUCCAUUUUAUUUUUGAAAUCAAAAUAUAAAUAGGAUGAUUUAAGUUUGCUGUUAUAAUCUACUGUAGAAAGAAAUUUCUAAUCUUUAUUUAUAAAUGGACCCAUGAUUUAUAUGUAUUAAAAAUUCAAAACUGGGGUACAAACUCAUUUAUUAGCAAUUCUGAAUAGCUUGGAAUUACCUCAAACAUUUCUCUCUCAGAUAUUAUCUAUGAAGAAUAAAUUGAAUAAAUAAGAGUAUUUGUAUAACUUCAAGUAAACAAUGUUUUUUGUUAUAAUUCAUAUCUUACCUACUUCUAAAAUUGAAUUAAAG
rnacentral:lncRNA from 10 species